rnacentral:rRNA from 1 species
CCUACGGGGGGCAGCAGUGGGGAAUAUUGCACAAUGGGGGGAACCCUGAUGCAGCGACGCCGCGUGAGUGAAGAAGUAUUUCGGUAUGUAAAGCUCUGUCAGCAGGGAAGAAGAAAGACGGUACCUGACCAAGAAGCCCCGGCUAACUACGUGCCAGCAGCCGCGGUAAUACGUAGGGGGCAAGCGUUAUCCGGAUUUACUGGGUGUAAAGGGAGCGUAGACGGCAGGGCAAGUCUGGAGUGAAAGGCAGGGGCCCAACCCCUGGACUGCUCUGGAAACUGUCCGGCUGGAGUGCAGGAGAGGUA